UUUGCGUAAUACUCACUUUAUGUUCAUUUUGCGGUGUAAAUCAUCACAUAAAAUGCAAGCAGCACAGAACCAAAUUCUCAACUGUCUCCUGUGAAAAAUCUACUUUACAAAAUGAACAGACUUCUAAAGAAAGAAAAGCCCUUUUCAUUAAUUCAGUUGCAUGAUAGUGAAUGUACAUGCUGUGUUUGCACUGUCUGGGCAAAUGAUCCAGAUCCAAAACAAUGGAUACCCUUACCUGAAACCACGCAGAAACCUUGCUCUUGUUAUUAUGGACUCUCUGCUCACAAAUUGUUCAUCAACAAAGCCUCAUCUCUGUCUCCCUUACAAUACCAUGCACUCUGACAGGCUGGUUUUGUAAGAGGCAUCAGCAGGGGAACUGCUUCUGCACAGUGCCCUCCUUUGACAAAGUCUCCCCUUUGUGGUGCCUCAAAAGCUCCAGCCUCGCAUCCUCAGCGCUGAUGUCUUGACACGCUGCAGGAAAGCAAGAGUCAGCACCCACUCAAGUCUGCUUUACAUGCGCUUUGAAGUGCCAGUGAAAGUACUUUGGAUGACUAGAAAGAUCCCAAUUUUAUUUUCUAUAUUGUCAGGAGUACGAAAGAUUGGCUUAAAAAGUUCUCAUAUACUGGAUCCUGACAGUAUAUACCCUCUGCAUUGUAUGCCUGCAGUGACUGUUUUUCUGCAUGUGUCCCACCAGAGAGCAGUACAAUCUGAAGAAUAAUCAGUCCUCAUCUAUCAGGACUUUUCACAUGCCUGCUUCUGCUGCAUUUCUCACAGAAAAGCUCCAUUGACUUCUCAACACAAAGAGGCUGAACAGCAAGAAAAUAGCAGAGCUCUGGAAGUGGAAAGAAACAUUUCAAAUCCUCAUAAAGAUUGUGGAAAAAGAAUCAACCUGGGAAGGUGAUUUAAAACUACAGAAGAAGGCC